ensembl:snRNA U6 U6 spliceosomal RNA
GUGCUCGCUUUGGCAGCACAUAUGCUAAAAAUUGGAAUGAUACAGAAAAGAUUUGCUUAUCCCCUGAGCAAGGAUGACACACAAAUUCGUGAAGCAUUCUAUAUUUAA